rnacentral:rRNA from 1 species
UUGAACGCUGGCGGCAUGCCUUACACAUGCAAGUCGAACGGUAACGCGGGGCAACCUGGCGACGAGUGGCGAACGGGUGAGUAAUAUAUCGGAACGUGCCCAAUAGUGGGGGAUAGCCCGGCGAAAGCCGGAUUAAUACCGCAUGAGACCUGAGGGUGAAAGCGGGGGACUCGCAAGAGCCUCGCGCUAUUGGAGCGGCCGAUAUCAGAUUAGGUAGUUGGUGGGGUAAAGGCCUACCAAGCCGACGAUCUGUAGCUGGUCUGAGAGGACGACCAGCCACACUGGGACUGAGACACGGCCCAGACUCCUACGGGAGGCAGCAGUGGGGAAUUUUGGACAAUGGGCGCAAGCCUGAUCCAGCCAUGCCGCGUGCGGGAAGAAGGCCUUCGGGUUGUAAACCGCUUUUGUCAGGGAAGAAAUCCUUUGAGCUAAUACCUCGGGGGGAUGACGGUACCUGAAGAAUAAGCACCGGCUAACUACGU